rnacentral:rRNA from 1 species
GACGAACGCUGGCGGCGUGCUUAACACAUGCAAGUCGAACGGAAAGGCCCUGCUUUUGUGGGGUGCUCGAGUGGCGAACGGGUGAGUAACACGUGAGUAACCUGCCCUUGACCUUGGGAUAACUUCAGGAAACUGAGGCUAAUACCGGAUAGGAGAUCGUGCUGCAUGGUGGGGGUUGGAAAGUUUGGGCGGUUGGGGAUGGAGUGGGGGCUUAUCGGCUUGUUGGGGGGAUAGUGGCUUACCAAGGCUGUGACGGGUAGCCGGCCUGAGCGGGUGACCGGCCACAUUGGGACUGCGAUACGGCCCAGACUCCUACGGUAGGCAGCAGUGGGGAAUAUUGCACAAUGGGCGGAAGCCUGAUGCAGCAACGCCGCGUGCGUGAUGACGGCCUUUGGGUUGUAAACCGCUUUCGCCUGUGACGAAGCGUGAGUGACGGUAAUGGGUAAAGAAGCACCGGCUAACUACGUG